rnacentral:rRNA from 1 species
UAGAGUUUGAUCAUGGCUCAGGAUGAACGCUAGCGGGAGGCCUAACACAUGCAAGCCGAGCGGUAGAGUUUCUUCGGAAACUUGAGAGCGGCGCACGGGUGCGGAACACGUGUGCAACCUGCCUUUAUCUGGGGGAUAGCCUUUCGAAAGGAAGAUUAAUACCCCAUAAUAUAUUGAUUGGCAUCAGUUAAUAUUGAAAACUCCGGUGGAUAAAGAUGGGCACGCGUAAGAUUAGAUAGUUGGUGAGGUAACGGCUCACCAAGUCAACGAUCUUUAGGGGGCCUGAGAGGGUGAUCCCCCACACUGGUACUGAGACACGGACCAGACUCCUACGGGAGGCAGCAGUGAGGAAUAUUGGACAAUGGGUGAGAGCCUGAUCCAGCCAUCCCGCGUGAAGGAAUAAGGACCUAUGGUUUGUAAACUUCUUUUGUACAGGGAUAAACCUACUCACGUGUGAGUAGCUGAAGGUACUGUACGAAUAAGCACCGGCUAACUCCGUGCCAGCAGCCACGGUAAUACGGAGGGUGCAAGCGUUAUCCGGAUUUAUUGGGUUUAAAGGGUCCGUAGGCGGGCCCGUAAGUCAGUGGUGAAAUCUCACA